rnacentral:lncRNA from 1 species
UGAAGUCUGGACGUUUUCUCAUUAGGCUCGUGCUAGCAGAGGCACACAAUGAAAUGAUUUGCUGUUAGUGCAGCCGUUUUCUUUGCUCUCAGAGUUUCUGUGUGGAAAAGAAAUCUGAUACCACUUUACAGUGGCAGAUGUUAUUACUUCAAGUAUUCAUCCCACGGACUUCAUAAAUCUGUGUCUGUAUUUCUAACAGUAGUAUAUUGAAGUACUCAGGAAAAAUAUGAGCAGGUAUAAAUGAAAAGCAAGCCUCCGUGCUGACAGAAAAUGGAAUGGAAUGCACAGAGGACUGACCCAGCCAGUAUGGAAACAGGCAGCCACCUACAGCCCAUGAUUUGCUGAAGACUAAGAUGAGUCCCUAACACCUUUCUUUGACAUGCCUCCUGGUGUGAACUUCUCAGGAUUCAGUCUUCAGGGAUCGAGGCACUGUUAUCUUUUCCAUCUCUUCUCGCUGUUGGAGGAAGAAGCCUAUUAGCUCUCAGAGGGUGGGCAGUUAUUGUCAGGUGCUUUGCAGCCGCAGAGAUGAACCAUUGACCUUGGGAAGAAGCUGAGAAUGUGCAGAACUGUGCCUGAUGAUCCAACCUACAGACCUUGUAUGAAAUAUUUUCUGUUUUUGAAGAAAGCUUGAGUUGGGUUAUUUAUGUCUCAUAAUUAAAGCACUCAAAUCCAUUUACGUCAGUAUUCUCGUGAUGUAAUUAUAUCAUACACAUACGUAGCAUUACCAGUAAUUUUAAGCCCUCUUCCAGCAAAUAAAACU